UACGGAGGGGACUAGCGUUGUUCGGAAUUACUGGGCGUAAAGCGCGCGUAGGCGGAUUAGUCAGUCAGAGGUGAAAUCCCAGGGCUCAACCCUGGAACUGCCUUUGAUACUGCUAGUCUUGAGUUCGAGAGAGGUGAGUGGAAUUCCGAGUGUAGAGGUGAAAUUCGUAGAUAUUCGGAGGAACACCAGUGGCGAAGGCGGCUCACUGGCUCGAUACUGACGCUGAUGUGUGAAGGCGUUGUGAGCUAACAGG
rnacentral:misc_RNA from 1 species